rnacentral:rRNA from 1 species
ACUCCUACGGGAGGCAGCAGUGGGGAAUAUUGCACAAUGGGGGAAACCCGUGAUGCAGCCAUGCCGCGUGUGUGAAGAAGGCCUUCGGUUGUAAAGCACUUUCAGUAGGGAGGAAGGUAGUGUAGUUAACACCUGCAUUAUUUGUACGUUACCUACAGAAGAAGCACCGGCUAACUCCGUGCCAGCAGCCGCGGUAAUACGGAGGGUGCGAGCGUUAAUCGGAAUUACUGGGCGUAAAGCGCAUGCAGGCGGCCUGUUAAGUCAGAUGUGAAAGCCCGGGGUCUUAACCUCGGAAUUGCAUUUGAAACUGGCGAGGCUAGAGUCUUGUAGAGGGGUUAGAAUUUCAGGUGUAGCGGUGAAAUGCGUAGAGAUCUGAAGGAAUACCAGU